GGUAAAAUGGUUGAGGGUAAGCAUUGAACUGUAAAUUCAAAGACAGAGACUAGAUAUCUCUUUUUACUA
rnacentral:tRNA from 1 species